ACGAACGCUGGCGGCGUGCCUAAUACCUGCAAGUCGAGCGGACUGAUUAAGAGCUUGCUCUUAUGACGUUAGCGGCGGACGGGUGAGUAACACGUGGGCAACCUGCCCUGUAGAUCGGGAUAACACCGAGAAAUCGGUGCUAAUACCGGGUAAUAUCUGAGAUCACAUGAUCUUAGGUUAAAAGAUGGCUCCGGCUAUCACUACAGGAUGGGCCCGCGGCGCAUUAGCUAGUUGGUAAGGUAAUGGCUUACCAAGGCGACGAUGCGUAGCCGACCUGAGAGGGUGAUCGGCCACACUGGGACUGAGACACGGCCCAGACUCCUACGGGAGGCAGCAGUAGGGAAUCUUCCGCAAUGGACGAAAGUCUGACGGAGCAACGCCGCGUGAGUGAUGAAGGGUUUCGGCUCGUAAAGCUCUGUUGUUAGGGAAGAAACAGUACCGAACGAACUAGGUCGGUACCUUGACGGUACCUAACCAGAAAGCCACGGCUAACUACGUG
rnacentral:rRNA from 1 species